ensembl:snoRNA SNORA73 Small nucleolar RNA SNORA73 family
GCAACGUGGAAUCCCCAGGAGGCCACUCUCCCAGGCUCUGUCCUAGUGUCAUAGGGUCAUAGGGUCUGUCCUAUUACAGUCCCCUUCUACAAAGCUGGAUUUGCUGCUGGGCUUCAAGUCUGCACCCGCACAUCCCUAUGACUCUCAGAGUCCUGUGGAUGAUGACUGACAAAACAAACCAUGCAGGAAACAGUU